rnacentral:rRNA from 1 species
GACGAACGCUGGCGGCGUGCCUAAUACAUGCAAGUCGAGCGCAGGAAACUGACGGAACUCUUCGGAGGGAAGGCAGUGGAAUGAGCGGCGGACGGGUGAGUAACACGUAAGGAACCUGCCUCAAGGAUUGGGAUAACUCCGAGAAAUCGGAGCUAAUACCGGAUAGUUCAACGGACCGCAUGGUCCGCUGAUGAAAGGCGCUCCGGCGUCACCUUGAGAUGGCCUUGCGGUGCAUUAGCUAGUUGGUGGGGUAACGGCCCACCAAGGCGACGAUGCAUAGCCGACCUGAGAGGGUGAUCGGCCACACUGGGACUGAGACACGGCCCAGACUCCUACGGGAGGCAGCAGUAGGGAAUCUUCUACAAUGGACGAAAGUCUGAUGGAGCAACGCCGCGUGAGUGAUGAAGGUUUUCGGAUCGUAAAACUCUGUUGUAAGGGAAGAACACGUACGAGAGGAAAUGCUCGUACCUUGACGGUACCUUACGAGAAAGCCACGGCUAACUACGUGCCAGCAGCCGCCGCGGUAA